rnacentral:RNase_P_RNA from 1 species
AGCAUUGGUUGACAGCUGUUAUUUUUUAAUAAUAGAGGAAAGUCCGCGCUAGCACAGGCUGCGAUGCCUGUAGUGAUCAUGCCAACACUAAUAAGGUUGGGGUAAUUUAUUACACGACUAGCACCACAGAGACGAGAAUUGUGAAACGGGUAAGCUCCAUGAGCUAGAAACUCAAAUUAAGGUAGAGGAAUCUAGAUUCGGGAAUUGAACCGAUAUAGAAGUUUAUAACUAGAUAAAUUGUCAACGCCUAUUUUAUAGGUACAGAACGCGGCUUAUAGAU